GCCCCAGUAGCUCAGCGGAUAGAGCAGCCGCCUCCUAAGCGAAAGGUCGCAGGUUCGACUCCUGCCUGGGGCGCCC
rnacentral:tRNA from 1 species